rnacentral:rRNA from 1 species
CUACGGGAGGCAGCAGUAGGGAAUCUUCCACAAUGGACGCAAGUCUGAUGGAGCAACGCCGUGUGAGUGAAGAAGGGUUUCGGGUCGUAAAGCUCUGUUGUUAAAGAAGAACGUGGGUGAGAGUAACUGUUCACCCAGUGACGGUAUUUAACCAGAAAGCCACGGCUAACUACGUGCCAGCAGCCGCGGUAAUACGUAGGUGGCAAGCGUUAUCCGGAUUUAUUGGGCGUAAAGCGAGCGCAGGCGGUCUUUUAAGUCUAAUGUGAAAGCCUUCGGCUCAACCGAAGAAGUGCAUUGGAAACUGGGAGACUUGAGUGCAGAAGAGGACAGUGGAACUCCAUGUGUAGCGGUGAAAUGCGUAGAUAUAUGGAAGAACACCAGUGGCGAAGGCGGCUGUCUGGUCUGUAACUGACGCUGAGGCUCGAAAGCAUGGGUAGCGAACAGGAUUAGAUACCCUGGUAGUCCAUGCCGUAAACGAUGAUAAGGUGAAGUGUUGGAGGGUUUACCGCCCUUCCGAGUGCUGCAAGCUAA